CCCGCGCUCCCACUAUCCUGGGCGGACUUGGCCUUCUUGGGGGCUGGCUCCUCUGGCCGGCCGCAAAGUCUCAGCCUUGCGCUCACAUGGGCCAGCUGAUUCCAGACGGAGACCCAGCACAAUAGGGAAGGCGGGCUGAGACCAGCUCGAACAUUCCAUCACUCAACCUUGUGUGAGCUCGCACCCUCAUCAGAUGCUGGGCAGGAAUAGGACACCGACAAAGAUGUGAGCAGCGGAAGUUAUAACCUUUCCUCUGCAACAACGGGCAGCUACUACAGUUGUG